AUACAUGCGCAGAAUACCGAUUAUAAAUAGAAUUAACCAGUAGUGGAAUAAUUCAGUCGUGUCCGACCGUGUUGCGUUGGUGCUCAGAUCGUUUCCAGCUAUCGUACCCUUUCGCAGUUCAACACCCACACCUGUCCCGGUGUUUCAAGCAUCUAAUCAAUCUCGCACAGACGAUAAGAAAAUGGCAUCUAAAGCACCACUGGUUAAGCUGAACAAUGGACGAUCGAUUCCCAUUAUUGGACUCGGAACGUGGGGCUCCUCAACGCUAGAGGUAACGAAGGCCGUAAAGGAUGCAAUUGAUGCUGGCUAUCGUCACAUUGAUUGUGCUCACGUAUACCAAAACGAGCGUCAAGUUGGCGAUGGUGUCAAUGCCAAGAUCAACGAAGGCGUUAUCAAACGUGAGGAUAUAUUUAUUACGAGCAAACUGUGGAAUACCUGCCACCGACCGGAACUCGUUGAAGAUGCCUGCAGAGCUACGCUGAAAAGACUCAACCUGGAUUAUAUCGAUCUGUAUCUGAUUCACUGGCCGAUGGGAUACAGAGAAGGCCCUGAACUGUUCCCCAAAGAUGACGAUGACAACGAAAAAACUGCCUAUUCCGAUGUAGAUUACGUGGACACGUGGAAGGCGAUGGAGCAACUAGUCGAACUCGGACUGACUAAAAGUAUUGGAAUUUCGAACUUCAACUCAAAGCAAAUAGAGCGAGUUUUGGCCGUGGCCACGAUAAAGCCGGUGGUCAAUCAGAUUGAAUGCCAUCCAUAUCUCUCACAGACGAAGCUGUCGGAAUUUUGUGCCAGCCGCGAUAUUGUCAUCACGGCAUACAGCCCACUGGGAUCUCCGAAUCGCCCGUGGGCCAAACCUGAUGAUCCACAACUAAUGGAGGAUCCUGAAAUUGUUGCCAUCGGUAGAAAGUAUGAUAAGACGGCUGCCCAGAUUUUGAUUCGCUACCAAAUACAGCGUGGCCACGUUGUCAUUCCCAAGUCUGUCUGCAUAUUUCGCAUUCAGUCGAACAUUGAUGUGUUUGAUUUUGAGCUAACCGAGGACGAAAUGAAACACAUUACUUCAUUCGACCGUAACGGACGUCUAGUGCCUAUUACGAGCGCUGAUACAAGCCCGCACUAUCCUUUUAAUGAGGAGUUUUAAAGGGGAAAGAAAUCCGAUUUUGGAGGAAAGAAACGUGUUGCUGUCUUACAUCGCUGCGGGUCAUCCUUAUCAUCCGUUUGAAAAUGAUGAAUUUUAACUUCACCCGAGACAAUUGUGAAAUCUUUAUCCUUGUGGAAUAAAACUGCACCAUUAGUAUGAGUAAACGUUUAUAUUCAUGAGAAAAAUAAGUACAAACACGUUUUGAAAACGUGCUUACACUCAGUUUGCAUUGAAAAUUGCUUUCAAAGUGUUAUGUACAGAUGCUCUAAAUAAAUCUUCAAACAUGGAA